CACCGCAGAAGUAUCUGAGCGAAACGGCAGAAGACGGGAGCUCUCAGAGAUAAUUCAUAUCUGCAUGCAAUGGAGGAAAUAUAUUUGAAACCUGAUAACCCAACAUCUUCAACAAAUCACACGGGUCGAAGGAGCUCUAAGAGGAGUUUCUGUUUAGUUGGUAUUCUCUCUCUUUGCCUGUUGGGUGCUUUCCUGCUGGCUAGACUGAUC